rnacentral:rRNA from 1 species
CACGUAGGGCGCAAGCGUUGUCCGGAAUUAUUGGGCGUAAAGAGCUCGUAGUCGGUCUGUUGCGUCCGCUGUGAAAACUCGGGGCUUAACCCCGAGCCUGCAGUGGAUACGGGCAGACUAGAGGUAGGUAGGGGAGAAUGGAAUUCCCGGUGUAGCGGUGAAAUGCGCAGAUAUCGGGAGGAACACCGGUGGCGAAGGCGGUUCUCUGGGCCUUACCUGACGCUGAGGAGCGAAAGCGUGGGGAGCGAACAGG